UCCAGUUCGCUCAAUUUCUUCACAGAGCUGCAUUCAAAAAUCCAGAAAAAAACUAAGGAAGCUGCUUAGCAAAUUUAUUAAGAAAGUCUUUUAUAAAUUCCAGAAAUUUUCGCCAUAAUUUAUGAAACCAAUAACGCAUCCGUCAGAAUACAACUUUGUAUGAUAUGUACAUACAUAUUUAUGCACAUAUGUAUUUGAAGUUCGUUGCUAUUGUUUAUGUUUUAUUCUUGGAAUUGGGCAUAUCCUCUUGCACCAAUUAUGUAUAUCGGCGGCGGUACACUAGCGAAGCAGGCAGACAUUUCCAGCACAUAAAAGCAAAAGAGUUUGUGCAGAUGAUUGUCCACAAGAGACGCUGGAGCAGAACACCUUAUCAAGUGACACAAACCAACGGCUUAUGGAGGCGCAAUACAUAUUUAUGAGCACGGUUGCCAGGGAAUAUGUUGGAAAUUAAUUUAAUCUGAACACUAACG